ACAUUGUUAAGUCUGGAGUUUUG
rnacentral:miRNA from 1 species